rnacentral:rRNA from 1 species
UACGGAGGAUGCAAGCGUUAUCCGGAUUUAUUGGGUUUAAAGGGUGCGUAGGCGGCCUGUUAAGUCAGAGGUGAAAGUCGGCAGCUCAACUGUCGAAUUGCCUUUGAUACUGGGAGGCUUGAAUGAAGUUGAAGAAGGCGGAAUGUGUCAUGUAGCGGUGAAAUGCUUAGAUAUGCCACAGAACACCGAUUGCGAAGGCAGCUUUCUAAGCUUAAAUUGACGCUGAAGCACGAAAGCGUGGGGAUCAAACAGG